CCUAGGGGUGGCAGCAGUGGGGAAUAUUGGACAAUGGGCGAAAGCCUGAUCCAGCCAUGCCGCGUGUGUGAAGAAGGCCUUCGGGUUGUAAAGCACUUUCAGUGGGGAAGAAAGCCUUGGGGCUAAUACCCUCGAGGAAGGACAUCACCCACAGAAGAAGCACCGGCUAACUCCGUGCCAGCAGCCGCGGUAAUACGGAGGGUGCGAGCGUUAAUCGGAAUUACUGGGCGUAAAGCGCGCGUAGGCGGUCUGAUAAGCCGGUUGUGAAAGCCCCGGGCUCAACCUGGGAACGGCAUCCGGACCUGUCAGGCUAGAGUGCAGGAGAGGAAGGUAGAAUUCCCGGUGUAGCGGUGAAAUGCGUAGAGAUCGGGAGGAAUACCAGUGGCGAAGGCGGCCUUCUGGACUGACACUGACGCUGAGGUGCGAAAGCGUGGGUAGCAAACAGGAUUAGAUACCCGAGUAGUC
rnacentral:rRNA from 1 species